GACGAACGCUGGCGGCGUGCUUAACACAUGCAAGUCGAACGGAAAGGCCCUGCUUUUGUGGGGUGCUCGAGUGGCGAACGGGUGAGUAACACGUGAGUAACCUGCCCUUGACUUUGGGAUAACUUCAGGAAACUGGGGCUAAUACCGGAUAGGAGCUCCUGCUGCAUGGUGGGGGGUGGAAAGGUUCGGCGGUUGGGGAUGGGCUCGCGGCUUAUCAGCUUGUUGGUGGGGUAGUGGCUUACCAAGGCUUUGACGGGUAGCCGGCCUGAGAGGGUGACCGGCCACAUUGGGACUGAGAUACGGCCCAGACUCCUACGGGAGGCAGCAGUGGGGAAUAUUGCACAAUGGGCGGAAGCCUGAUGCAGCAACGCCGCGUGCGGGAUGACGGCCUUCGGGUUGUAAACCGCUUUCGCCUGUGACGAAGCGUGAGUGACGGUAAUGGGUAAAGAAGCACCGGCUAACUACGUG
rnacentral:rRNA from 1 species